AGAAAUAGUAUUUCUUGCUUUGCCAAAUCGACUUCUUUGUUAAACAGAGUGCUGUGAACAUGACUCUUUACCUGUCCACCUGUUCUUAUGUUGUUGGCAUUGUUGAUAUUUGGGGUGGUAAGAGAAAGACUGAUAUUUGCUAUUUACAGUAUUCUUUAUGCUCCAUUGAAUUUAUUUGCAUUUAACAGUAUUUAAAUAAUUUAUAAUUUUAUUAGAAGUAAAGAUGUGAUGCUUCCAUAGAUUCUGUUGGUGUUAUAGUUAUAAUACUUGAUCAACAGUUAGGUGAUCAAAUUGUGACAGAACAUAUGUGUCAGACAAUGUCUAUGUUUAAUUGUAAUUUCAAGUUCUAAACAUAGUCAUGUUUGCUAAGAACCUUUUUUUGCUUGUACGUUUCAUAGAUUAGUAAAUCACUGUGGGCAUUUAAUAGGUCUGUCUGUAUAAACAUAUGAAGCUUUCUCCCUUUUAUGAUUACAGUAUCACAGUCUUUGCCAGCCACUGACAUGGCAUUUUGUGCAUAUUAGUAAUACAUUGUGUCAUCUUUUGAGUUACAGAAUCGCUAUACUGAUUCAAGUUGCAGUUAGUAGAAAUGGCUAGUUGUACUGUUCAUAUCUGUAGAACUUGCAAAUAUUAGUCUUUACUGUUCAUUCUACACUUCGUUAAUAUACUUGUUUGGGUUUAGAAAUUACUGUGAUUAUUUAUAGGUAGGCAUGAAGCUAUACAAAUAUUAGAAAUUUUGCUCUAUUAAUGAUUAUGAAAAACAAACAUCAGGCUGUGCCAGCCAUUGGCAUGAUAUUUUAUGCCUGUUAGUAUCACUUUAUUUGAUGUUAGUAACAUAUUCAAUUUACUUUAUUUUUAUUAAAUCAGAUGGCUGAUUUACUGUUCAUUUUGUGUUACCUGCAUGCUGAUCCAUAAUUUCUUUGCCGAUCUUUUAAUGAACAGUAUUUUUUUUUUGUCUUGAUUUUUCCCCUUGUGUUUACAUUGUUAUGUUGCACUUAAGAUGAGGCCCAGUGAUGGAAAUCAUUGAUUUGAGCUGCUCCAUGGCUAUUUCUUUUGAGCAUUAACUGCAUGCCUUCUUCAUGUCUUAAAACAAAACCACCACCACAGCCACCAUUAUCACCACCACCGCUACCACUUCACUACUUCACCACUUCACCACCACCACCGCUACCACUUUAUCGUCAUUAUUUAUGCAUGUUAAAUGCUCAUCGAGAAAUACCAUUCUUCGAGCUGCAGUGAAUUUCUAAAGCUAUGAGAUCUGAGGGCCUCAGCUAACAGUGUUUGAUUACUGUCGAUUCAUGAUCACCAGUGGAGCAUCCAUUUGGUUUGACAGCACCUAUCUUAGUCCAUCACCGUGGACAGUAAUUACGGAUGGUAAUGUAGACUUACAUACAUGUGAUGAUCAGGGUUACAUUUUUAGAACAACCAGUGUUGCUGUCUUCAACCAUUGCCUGCCUUGAAUCUUAUUAUGUGUUAUCCUUGUUUACGUUUUGCUUAUAUUGUGCACCUUUGUGUCUGUUGUAAUGCUCACAUAUAUCCAACAAACAUUAUUUACAAAAUAAUGGUAUCAGUUUCAUGUUUUUUGUUGUAGUUGUUGUUGUUAUUAGUGUUUCCUUGUAAUGUUGCUGGUAAAUAUUGCCAACUUCAGCAUUGAUGGAUUUGUAUAGCUAACCAUGACAAAGUUCAAUAAUUGAUCAAAUAAUACCAUACUGUAUUUUUCAUGUGAAUUCUUCUCACAAUUCUAUCAUUUUACAUUAUGGCAUAAGUUAGUUAGUUGGAUAUCUGCUAUCAUUUUAUGUUGUGUUAAUUAUUGUUUUAAUGGAUGCACUUAUCUGCUGUUGAGUGUAUUAUCGAAACUGAUAUAUCUUUUAUUUCUUUUUAUGGGUAUAUGCAGGAACAGGUCUUAUGUUUAAGCAGGACUAAGGAUGACUAAGGAGCUCAAUGUUUCUUACACCGAAAUCGAAUUGCAUACCCUAAAAUUCUUAUAGUUUUGUAAAGGGAAUGGCUGUUGUUCACUGUAAUUUUUUUAUGGGCGACCUCAUAUUGUUGUACAAUUUAGAGGGUAAUGGUUGGUCUUAUUUUGGAAAGUUUCUGAGUACUAAAUUAUUUUGGAAUGAUAAUAGAUGUCUAUUUUCAGCAAAAAGAAAGAACACAGUAUUCAGCGAUUUGGCACUGUUUGAUUCUUUUUGUCAUUUUGUCACCCUCUGGUGAGAUAAACU
rnacentral:lncRNA from 1 species